ensembl:lncRNA
ACAUCUUUAGUAGGAGUAGGAGCCUGUAAUGAAUUCAACACAAAGUACCUCCUCAUAACUAAGUGAAAAACAACAUUUGCUGUGGCGUAAAAUCCAAAGCGGUGGCUUUAGCAAAGAAAUACUGACAAAGAGCGCCAACUGCAGGUGGCGCUUUCGUGACCUUGCAGGUGACCCUGGCGAGCUGAUAAGAACGCUUUUCCAUUUGUACUGGAGCACCAUGUGAUGCAUUUUGUUGGGGAAUCUCUCCAAACCGAGAUGCAGAGGACUUACGCGAUAACGACUUUGCCACUCCUGCAGCCGCGUCCGCUCUGUUUGUUCGUAUAAUUCGAUGUGAGGCGAACGCUGAUCACGUCGAGCAUCAUCAGUAAACACGCAUUAACUCUGUGAGUGUUUACCCCGACAGAAUCGUCUGGUAGCGCUGCACGAAAAAAGCCUCCUCGACCUCUAGGCCGUGCUUCGGUUCAGUGCAGGGGGAGGAGGGGGGAGGAGGGAGGGGGGGGGGGGGGGGGCGGGGGGGGGGGGGGGGGUGGGAUUGCUCUCUCUUCUUGUUUUGCUCUCUCUGUCCUCCUCCGGUCAUGUGACCCUCUCCCGGUCGUUUAAAGGGCCUGCCUUUGCCCCGUCCAUUAAAGAGACUCUAAAUGACCCCCAGCUGACCUCUGCAGAGAGAGGAUGGCAGUAGCGGUUUAAAAAGACCUCCGUCCCACAAGGCUGAUCGCCCAGCUGCACCAGUCCAUCCGUCCCAUCAUCUCACUGGUGCUAAAGAUUUCACCGUCCGAACAUCCACGCCCGCGCGGCGUCAAGCGUCAUCGCCAUCGUGGAUCUCCUCUGGGGCCCAACGCCGGACUUUCACCUGCUGCGGUGCACAAAAAAAGGUGGAGGAAGAUCGCACGCGCGUCGUCGUUCUCUGGGCACAAAGAAACCGCCGAGGCGAAUGGAGUUCCUCGUCCUCUGGGACGAUCCGUCUGACAAUGUUUCCCUCGGAGCUCGUGCGUUGGUGUGUGCAGCGUGCGUGCACACGGGAGGGCGCUGCACUGACCCUCGAACCUGCACUCUGUCUCUCUUGUUUCGGACUGUUUGUUAGGAGGACGUGUCCACCAAGGCGCGGACACAUUUAAAGCAGAGACACUUGUAAUCUAACAUCGCCAUGCUC